UAGGGAAGUCUUCGGCAAUGGGGGCGAACCCUGACCGAGCAACGCCGCGUGAGUGAAGAAGAUUUUCGGAUCGUAAAGCUCUGUUGUAAGAGAAGAACGUGUGUGAGAGUGGAAAGUUCACACAGUGACGGUAACUUACCAGAAAGGGACGGCUAACUACGUGCCAG
rnacentral:rRNA from 1 species